AGCGAACGCUGGCGGCAGGCCUAACACAUGCAAGUCGAACGAACUCUUCGGAGUUAGUGGCGGACGUGUGAGUAACACGUGGGAACGUGCCUUUAGGUUCGGAAUAACUCAGGGAAACUUGUGCUAAUACCGAAUGUGCCCUUCGGGGGAAAGAUUUAUCGCCUUUAGAGCGGCCCGCGUCUGAUUAGCUAGUUGGUGAGGUAAAGGCUCACCAAGGCGACGAUCAGUAGCUGGUCUGAGAGGAUGAUCAGCCACAUUGGGACUGAGACACGGCCCAAACUCCUACGGGAGGCAGCAGUGGGGAAUCUUGCGCAAUGGGCGAAAGCCUGACGCAGCCAUGCCGCGUGAAUGAUGAAGGUCUUAGGAUUGUAAAAUUCUUUCAACGGGGACGAUAAUGACGGUACCCGGAGAAGAAGCCCCGGCUAACUUCGUG
rnacentral:rRNA from 1 species